GGGUGGGGCCAGGGCGGACGUAGGUUCCCCAGGUCCGCCGCGCCCUCUUGUCUGUCACGUGAGGGGCGGUUCGCUGACCGGCGGUUCGCUGACGGGCUUUUUGCCACACCCAGUUCCACUUCUAGUGGAAGUUUGAACAGCUGGGAAAGAAGAAAGGAGGAAAGAAAAGGGAUGGAAAUGAAAGCAUUUUCCAGCUUAAUGCCUGCCUACCACAUACCUGAAGCUGUGUAACUCUGCUCCAGCAAAAGUACUAUAUCUGGCAUAGCUGCUGCAAGUACAACUACUACUUCGUGGAAUUUGUGAUACUCUACUGUCACCCCCCAGAAUCCAUCUGGUUUUUGCAAGAUCCAGACUGGUCAAUUAAAUGGAGAUACACUGGGGACUAGUAUCCCUGCAUUCUUCAGGUUUUUAAAGGACACGGAUCCAAAAAAUUAUUGCUACAAUUUAUGUCAAAGAGUGUGGAAGAUCAUACAGAUUUGAGGAGGGAAGAAAUAGUGUAAAUAUUUGUUUUGGAGGACUUGCGUUGUUCCUCUAAUAUCUUAGAUUUAAAUGAAUCACUGUUGAAAUCCGUGACUUAAAAUAAUGGAGGAUGCUGUAAUAUCACGUUCAAGCUUUAUGCCGUGGACCUAAAAGCGCAGGGUUGCAGAGUUGCAUUUUGAGGAUGGUGGUGAUAUAAUUUCAGUGAUGAAGGGGGUUACCAGGAUCCCCAAAGUGAUGAUAGACUUACGUGGUUUGGGCAUGAUGAUUUACGUGGCUUUCAGGGGAGUGAUUUUCUAUUUAAGCCUGAAGAUUAAAACUUUUAUGAUAAUUCUUUUCAUAAUGUAUCUUUGCUACAUAUAAUUUUGAUAUUCAUUGAA